rnacentral:rRNA from 1 species
GGGCGUAAGAGCUCGUAGGUGGUUCGUUACGUCGGAUGUGAAAAUCUGGGGCUCAACCCCAGACCUGCAUUCGAUACGGGCGAUCUAGAGUGUGGUAGGGGAGACUGGAAUUCCUGGUGUAGCGGUGGAAUGCGCAGAUAUCAGGAGGAACACCAAUGGCGAAGGCAGGUCUCUGGGCCAUAACUGACACUGAGGAGCGAAAGUGCGGGGAGCGAACAGGAUUAGAUACCCUGGUAGUCCGCACCGUAAACGGUGGGCACUAGUUGUGGGAACCUUCCACGGUUUCCGCGACGCAGCAAACGCAUUAAGUGCCCCGCCUGGGGAGUACGAUCGCAAGAUUAAAACUCAAAGGAAUUGACGGGGCCCCGCACAAGCAGCGGAGCAUGCGGCUUAAUUCGACGCAACGCGAAGAACCUUACCAAGGCUUGACAUAUAGCGAAAAGUGGCAGAGAUGUCAUGUCCGCAAGGGCGCUAUACAGGUGGUGCAUGGUUGUCGUCAGCUCGUGUCGUGAGAUGUUGGGUUAAGUCCCGCAACGAGCGCAACCCUCGUUCUGUGUUACCAGCAUUCAGUUGGGGACUCACAGGAGACUGCCGGGGUCAACUCGGAGGAAGGUAAU